rnacentral:misc_RNA from 1 species
AAACCUUUACAGCUGAUUCGUCAAUCAAUCUCUCCGACCACCGCCGCCGCCGUCCUCCGCCGUACACCGGCGAUGGAGUUUUCACCUCUGAAUCGUCUACCUCAAGAUACCCUUCAUCAGAUCUUCUCCCAUUUAACUCUCCGUGAAAUCAUCGUUUCCAAGUGUGUCUGCAAAUGUCUCAACGCUACUCUCUCUUCUCCGGCGUUCCUCCACCUUAUCUCCACCCAACA